GUGUUCACCCUUCUUUCCCUUCUCUUUUCGUGCAGAGCCGCCUUUUCCGCCGCGGGAGGCGCAGAGAGGUGCCCGGCAGACGCACUUCCAGCUCCCGUGUGCGACGAGCCUGCUGUGGGCCCCGCUGAGCCCUUGUCCCGUUUUGGGGGUCCCUUGUGGGCCUUUGCCGGGUUUUGGAGGUGCCUCUCGAGCCUUGCUCCCUGCGCCAUGCACGGAGCCGGGAAUUUCCCUUGGACGGAAGCGGGUCCUGCCRGCUCGCGCUCGUCGCCAGCUCCGGUAGGAAACAAAGCGCCCGGCGAGUGAGAACAUCUGCAAUCACGCCAAAUCCAGCGGAGUCCUCCGAAGCGGAGGAAGCAGCGGCCGCCAGGGGAUGCUCCCCACGUUCAGGAGGAGCUAAACUCGCAGCUGGCUCUGGUG